UACGAAGGGGGCUAGCGUUGCUCGGAAUCACUGGGCGUAAAGGGUGCGUAGGCGGGUCUUUAAGUCAGAGGUGAAAGCCUGGAGCUCAACUCCAGAACUGCCUUUGAUACUGAAGAUCUUGAGUUCGGGAGAGGUGAGUGGAACUGCGAGUGUAGAGGUGAAAUUCGUAGAUAUUCGCAAGAACACCAGUGGCGAAGGCGGCUCACUGGCCCGAUACUGACGCUGAGGCACGAAAGCGUGGGGAGCAAACAGG
rnacentral:rRNA from 1 species